GGGGUUGUAGCUCAGUGGUAGAGCGUCUCGUUUGCAUUAAAACGAGCAGCAAAGUUUCGAGAAGGUCUGGGGUUCAAUCCCCCACGUCUCCA